GACGAACGCUGGCGGCGUGCUUAACACAUGCAAGUCGAACGGAAAGGCCCUGCUUUUGUGGGGUGCUCGAGUGGCGAACGGGUGAGUAACACGUGAGUAACCUGCCCUUGACUUUGGGAUAACUUCAGGAAACUGGGGCUAAUACCGGAUAGGAGCUCCUGCUGCAUGGUGGGGGUUGGAAAGUUUCGGCGGUUGGGGAUGGACUCGCGGCUUAUCAGCUUGUUGGUGGGGUAGUGGCUUACCAAGGCUUUGACGGGUAGCCGGCCUGAGAGGGUGACCGGCCACAUGGGGACUGAGAUACGGCCCAGACUCCUACGGGAGGCAACAGGGGGGAAUAUUGCACAAUGGGCGGAAGCCUGAUGCAGCAACGCCGCGUGCGGGAUGACGGCCUUCGGGUGGUAAACCGCUUUCGCCUGUGACGAAGCGUGAGUGACGGUAAUGGGUAAAGAAGCACCGGCUAACUACGU
rnacentral:rRNA from 1 species